UCGAAUAGAAGAGGCGCAGAACUUAGGAGUCGCCACGGUUAGGCAGAUCAGUGCCCGUGAGCCGUGGUUAAAGGAAGUUUUGCCGAAGUGUGGUGACCCUGAUCCGUUACCGUGCUGGGGUCAGUCUUAACAGGGCUGGCACUGUCGCUUACCGCGGAGAGCUUCCUACGAU
rnacentral:ncRNA from 2 species